GCCCGUAUAGCUCAGUGGUAGAGCGCAUCACUCGUAACAUGUUUGGAAUCCAUCCAUUUAACACUACGGAAAUGAUGAGGUCCGCGGUUCAAUCCCGCGUGGGGGCA